UUGGGUACAAGUAUUCUUGUGCCUCAGCCUCCUGAGUAGCUGGGAUUACAGGCAUGCAUGACUAUGCCCAGCUAUUUUUUUUUCUUUUGUAUUUUUAGUAGAGACAGUGUUUCACCCUGUUGGUGUUGUAACUAAGAUAACCUUGACCAUCUUCAUCGGUGUCAUGCCAUCAAAUCUCCAAAGAUCUGUAAUGCAGGCUUCAGAUUCAGAAAACCCUAGAUUUGAUUCCAGUAUAUUUUACUUGGGCUGCUUUAACAAAAUACCACAACCUGCGUGGUUUAUAAAUAACAGACAUUUACUGCUCACAGUUCUAUAUAGGCUGGGAAGUCCAAGAUCAAGGUGCUAGCCAAUGCAGUUCCUGACAAGGGUGCUUUUCCUGGUUUGUAGAUGACUGCCUUCUCCCUGUGUUGUAGGGAAAGAGAGGAAGCAAGCUCUCUGGUGUCUCACAGGGGCACUAAUCCCAUCAUGAGGAAUUUAUCCUCAUGACAUCAUCUAAACCUGAUUACCCCCAUCUCUAAAUACCAUCACAUUGGGGAUUAGAACAUUAGCAUAUGAAUCUAUGGCUGGGCAUACAAACACUCAGUCCAUAACAACUCCUAACUCUACCGCUUACUAGCUGGGAGACCUUGGGUAAAUUACAUGAAUUACUUCAAUUUCCUCAAUCAUGUGAAGAAAAUAAUCCUGCCUAUGGGAGUAGUUAUGGAGAUUACGUGAUAUAAGGCAUGGAAACUAUUUAGCAUGGUUUUUCGAACAUACUAUUCAUGGUGAUUCUUGGAAUGACCUUCCUAUACCAUUUUAAACAGGUUGAUAAAUAAAUGCAAAACUAGAGGCCAAAGUAUCACCCUAUUUACUGAUAAAGGCCAGGUUGGAGAAUGUGGUUGCUAAUAAGCAAAUCCAGAGCUGAUCUUUAGUUAUGGCAGUAUUUAUGCAAAGCAACACUUACAGUGGAAUUCCUGAACCACAGAGGACAUGGAGGAGCAGAGAAGAAUUGGUGCUUCCUAAGGGGAAAGGAAGAGCUAAAUGGAAUGUUCUUAGUUACUCUAACCAAUUUUGUCAUUCAAAGAUCUCUCAACUACUCCAAGAACAAAGUGAAUAAAGGGAUGGAGAUAGGCCAGGGAUUAUGCUAAUUGAGCUCCCAUCCAAAGAAAUGAAUACUAGGGGUGGAGAAAUAUUCCCCACUAACAUGAUUUCACAUUAAUCCUAUUGUUACUGGAGUUUAAGUAGGAAAUUAAACAGUGUGCUGAAACAUCCAUGACUAAAAUGUCCCCAGUGUUACACAAAGCCCCAGAUCUUCCCUUGGUUAGCCGUUUUCUGUGAUGAAUGCUGCUCCCAUCGUAGCUUGCAAAAUCUUUGCCAAUAAUUAUUACACUGAUUGCUCAUCUUUGAAUUUUAUAGCUUAUGAAGCACUUUUCUGCUGAUGAUCUCAUUUGGUCUUUUCAUCAGCCCUGACAGGGAGGGACAGAGGAGAACAGGGUGGAGGGCGGGCGGGGAUGUUAUUCAUGUCAUUUUAUAUCCAAGGAUAUCGAGGACCAGAGCAGCUAUGUGAUGUGUAGAGGGCUGAACUGGAAAAAGAAUUACAAUAUAUCUAAUGGUAUAGUACCAAAUGAGAAAUGAAUAUAAUUGCUGUAAAGGGAAAAAGCAUUGUAGAUUUGGUAACUUCACUUUUGGUCUGUAUAUCUCUUUAGCAGAAAAAACUAAAAUAAGUUUCUUUUUGGCAUGGAGCCAUUAAUUAGAACUAUAUCAUUGUGUCACUAACCACAUUCAAACCCUUCUAUGGCAAAAUUAAGUUAAGGCUCAUUGAGAUAGGGGAAUUAUGUUGGAUUAUCUAGA
rnacentral:lncRNA from 1 species